rnacentral:rRNA from 1 species
AUUGAACGCUGGCGGCGUGCCUUACACAUGCAAGUCGAACGGCAGCACGGGGCAACCUGGUGGCGAGUGGCGAACGGGUGAGUAAUGCAUCGGAACGUACCUUUCAGUGGGGGAUAACGUAGCGAAAGUUACGCUAAUACCGCAUAUUCUGUGAGCAGGAAAGCAGGGGAUCGCAAGACCUUGCGCUGAUUGAGCGGCCGAUGUCAGAUUAGCUAGUUGGUGAGGUAAAGGCUCACCAAGGCGACGAUCUGUAGCGGGUCUGAGAGGAUGAUCCGCCACACUGGAACUGGUACACGGUCCAGACUCCUACGGGAGGCAGCAGUGGGGAAUUUUGGACAAUGGGGGCAACCCUGAUCCAGCCAUGCCGCGUGAGUGAAGAAGGCCUUCGGGUUGUAAAGCUCUUUCGGCCGGGAAGAAAUCGCACGGGCUAAUACCCUGUGUGGAUGGCGGUACCGGAAUAAGAAGCACCGGCUAACUACGUGCCAGCAGCCGCGGUAA